rnacentral:rRNA from 1 species
CCCUUAGAUUGUCUGGGCGGCACGCGCGCUACAAUGAUGCAUUCAAAAAGUCUUCUGACCUUAGAAGGUUGGGUAUUCUCCAAAGUGCAUCGUGAUGGGAAUAGUUUAUUGCAAUUUUUAAUCUUGAACGAGGAAUUCCUAGUAAGUACAGGUCAUCAACUUGUGUUGAUUACGUCCCUGCCCUUUGUACACACCGUCCGUCGCUCCUACUGAUUGAGUGUCUCGGUGAAUUCGUUGAUCUUCUGUCGAUUCAGUUCACUGAUCCGACGGUGGAAAGUUGAAUGAACUUCGUCACUUAGAGGAAGGAGAAGUCGUAACA